GACGAACGCUGGCGGCGUGCCUAAUACAUGCAAGUAGAACGCACAGUUUAUACCGUAGCUUGCUACACCAUAGACUGUGAGUUGCGAACGGGUGAGUAACGCGUAGGUAACCUGCCUGGUAGCGGGGGAUAACUAUUGGAAACGAUAGCUAAUACCGCAUAAUAUUAAUUAUUGCAUGAUAAUUGAUUGAAAGAUGCAACUGCAUCACUACCAGAUGGACCUGCGUUGUAUUAGCUAGUAGGGGAGGUAACGGCUCACCUAGGCGACGAUACAUAGCCGACCUGAGAGGGUGAUCGGCCACACUGGGACUGAGACACGGCCCAGACUCCUACGGGAGGCAGCAGUAGGGAAUCUUCGGCAAUGGACGAAAGUCUGACCGAGCAACGCCGCGUGAGUGAAGAAGGUUUUCGGAUCGUAAAGCUCUGUUGUAAGAGAAGAACGGGUGUGAGAGUGGAAAGUUCACACUGUGACGGUAUCUUACCAGAAAGGGACGGCUAACUACGUG
rnacentral:rRNA from 1 species